GUGCCAGCCGCCGCGGUAAUACCAGCCCCGCGAGUGGUCGGGACUCUUGCUGGGCCUCAAGCGCCCGUAGCCGAGCCCGGUAAGUCCCUCCUUAAAGCCCCGGGCUCAACCCGGGGAGCGGGGGGAUACUGCCGGGCUAGGGGGCGGGAGAGGCCGGGGGUACCCCAGGGGUAGGGGCGAAAUCCGAUAAUCCCUGGGGGACCACCAGUGGCGAAGGCGCCCGGCUGGAACGCGCCCGACGGUGAGGGGCGAAAGCCGGGGGAGCGAACCGGAUUAGAUACCCGGGUAGUCCCGGCUGUAAACUAUGCGGGCCAGGUGUCGGGCGGGCGUUAGAGCCCGCCCGGUGCCCGCAGGAAGCCGUUAAGCCCGCCGCCUGGGGAGUACGGCCGCAAGGCUGAAACUUAAAGGAAUUGGCGGGGGGGCACACAAGGGGUGGAGCCUGCGGCUCAAUUGGAGUCAACGCCGGGAACCUCUACCGGGGGCGACAGCAGGAUGACGGCCAGGCUAACGACCUUGCCCGACGCGCUGAGGGGAGGUGCAUGGCCGUCGCCAGCUCGUGCUGUGAAGUGUCCUGUUAAGUCAGGCAACGAGCGAGACCCCCGCCCCUAGUUGCGACCCUGCGGGCGACCGCGGGGGCACACUAGGGGGACUGCCGCCGCUAAGGCGGAGGAAGGAGGGGGCCACGGCAGGUCAGCAUGCCCCUAAACCCCCGGGCUGCACGCGGGCUACAAUGGCGGGGACAGCGGGAUCCGACCCCGAAAGGGGGAGGCAAUCCCUGAAACCCCGCCGUAGUUGGGAUCGGGGGCUGAAACUCGCCCCCGUGAACCUGGAAUCCCUAGUAACCGCGCGUCACCAUCGCGCGGUGAAUACGUCCCUGCCCCUUGUACACACCGCCCGUC
rnacentral:rRNA from 1 species